CCCGAUAAAAAUAUUCGUGGCAUCUUGACAAACAACUCUCAAGACCUAAAGUGUCCAACCCCUGGCUGUGAUGGAUCAGGUCACAUCACUGGAAACUACGCCUCCCACAGGAGUCUCUCUGGUUGUCCUCGAGCCAAGAAAAGUGGCAUGAAAAUCCUCCACAGCAAAGAAGAAAACGAUGAGC